GACGAACGCUGGCGGCGUGCCUAAUACAUGCAAGUUGAGCGCUGAAGGUUGGUACUUGUACCAACUGGAUGAGCAGCGAACGGGUGAGUAACGCGUGGGGAAUCUGCCUUUGAGCGGGGGACAACAUUUGGAAACGAAUGCUAAUACCGCAUAAAAACUUUAAACACAAGUUUUAAGUUUGAAAGAUGCAAUUGCAUCACUCAAAGAUGAUCCCGCGUUGUAUUAGCUAGUUGGUGAGGUAAAGGCUCACCAAGGCGAUGAUACAUAGCCGACCUGAGAGGGUGGUCGGCCAAAUUGGGACUGAGACACGGCCCAAACUCCUACGGGAGGCAGCAGUAGGGAAUCUUUGGCAAUAGACGAAAGUCUGACCGAGCAACGCCGCGUGAGUGAAGAAGGUUUUCGGAUCGUAAAACUCUGUUGGUAGAGAAGAACGUUGGUGAGAGUGGAAAGCUCAUCAAGUGACGGUAACUACCCAGAAAGGGACGGCUAACUACGUG
rnacentral:rRNA from 1 species